GGCAACUGGUUUUGAUGAAUCUCCUGUCACUAAGCCUGGGAAAGGUCCAAGCUAUAGGACUGAAAAGUUACACCUCUUCUGAUCUAAGCUAUAGGACUGAAAAGUUACACCUCUUCUGAUCUAAGCUAUAGGACUGAAAAGUUACACCUCUUCUGAUCUAAGCUAUAGGACUGAAAAGUUACACCUCUUCUGAUCUAAGCUAUAGGACUGAAAAGUUGCACCUCUUCUGAUGUGUGAAUAAAACACCUUUUGGAUUUGAAUCCUGUUUGCAGUGCUGCUUCAUUACCUUCCAUUUUCUGCCAUUACUGGGACCAUGAUUCGGGCCACCUGGAGCUGAGCACCCACCGGGACUAGAAGUCUAGCCACUAGAAGAGCACCCACCUCUUUGCUUUUUGGUUAUUUGAAGUGAUAAGAAAUACGAGUUUUCAAGAACUCACCAGAGCAACACCGAGUAUCUGAGGAAAAGUGUACGAGGAACAACCGGCAGGAGUCAGGCGGAUAGUAGCAUAGGGAGUCUGGAACCAAGCUUUUUCACUUGCCCAUACUAUAUCACAUAGAGACAACUUUCCGAUAAGGUAGGAAUAAUCCAGACCGCUGCAGAAAACACUGCCAACAGCACUGAGCAGGAGAAGCUUACUGUCAUCAGAGGAAGCAUUGCACAAAGCCCGUCGGACCUCUUUCAUAAU